rnacentral:rRNA from 1 species
CCAGACUCCUACGGGAGGCAGCAGUGGGGAAUAUUGCACAAUGGGGGGAACCCUGAUGCAGCGACGCCGCGUGGGUGAAGGAGUACUUCGGUACGUAAAGCCCUAUCAGCAGGAAAGAAAAUGACGGUACCUGACUAAGAAGCCCCGGCUCACUACGUGCCAGCAGCCGCGGUAAUACGUAGGGGGCAAGCGUUAUCCGGAUUUACUGGGUGUAAAGGGAGCGUAGACGGCAGGGCAAGUCCGGUGUGAAAGCCCGGGGCCCAACCCCGGGACUGCACUGGAAACUGCCGGGCUGGAGUGUCGGAGGGGCAGGCGGAAUUCCUAGUGUAGCGGUGAAAUGCGUAGAUAUUAGGAGGAACACCGGUGGCGAAGGCGGCCUGCUGGACGACGACUGACGCUGAGGCUCGAAAGCGUGGGGAGCAAACAGGAUUAGAUACCCCCGUAGU